UACGAAGGGUGCAAGCGUUACUCGGAAUUACUGGGCGUAAAGCGUGCGUAGGCGGUUUGUUAAGUCUGUCGUGAAAGCCCCGGGCUCAACCUGGGACUGGCGAUGGAUACUGGCGAGCUAGAGUACGGUAGAGGAGAGUGGAAUUCCCGGUGUAGCAGUGAAAUGCGUAGAGAUCGGGAGGAACAUCAGUUGCGAAGGCGGCUCUCUGGACCAGUACUGACGCUGAGGCACGAAAGCGUGGGGAGCAAACAGG
rnacentral:rRNA from 1 species